UGUCGGUCGGUUUAAUGAAAUAAAACCCCAACCAAACCCUUUCUUUCCUCUCUCUCUUCCCGUGAGAAAUAUAAAACCCCCAAAUCCUCAAUCCUUUCUCUCUUCCCCUGCUUUAUGUCUCGUCAAAAUCCGGUUGCCUCGCCGGUGUUCUUGUUGCUCGUCGGAGCUAUGCGUGUGGUGCUGCUCGCAAGCCAUCACACCGCUGCUGUUGUUCGUUGCUGCUCGCGAGCCAUCGAGGCAUGUGUUUCUCUCUCCUCUCUCGAAAAUCUUGUUGUCCUCUGCUUGUGUUGCGGGUCUUGUUCUUGUCGUUUACUUACGGUAGUGCAUCACUAAUUUGUCGGUGCUCAAUCAGCCUCGCUAGAGCUUCGAGAUCCCUCUAUUCUCUGUUCUCUAUGUUCUCUGCUUCCUCUGUUUUUCGCUGCUUCUUGGAUGGCAGAGGUAUAAAAUUCCUACCUCUUGUUUCUAUAUUUGAUUACUAGUUGGUGUUAGCAAAUGUUUAAUUGGUUUACUUUUGUUUCUAAUUAUUUUAUAAAUUAGAUGAUGAUUAGGAGUUUAAUUAUGUAGUAUAGUCUACUUGAGAGGAGUUGUGGUGGUUUCUGUUGGUUGUGCUGUUGUUAUUACGUUGUUGUUGUUGUUGUAUUGUUGUUGUUGUUGUUAUAUUAUUGUUGGUGUUGGGAUUGUUGUGGUGGUGGUGAUGUGCCACAAUUAUUGGUUUGUUGUUGUUGUUCUUGAUUUAGGUGAAAGUUGUGAGUUAAGGUUAGUUAGUUUGGUUUUAUAAUUAGAAUUCUCAUUAUGAAUUAAGGAUUAUAGAGUUAGAAUGUUAAAGGUUGAUAAUUUGUAAAUUGGGAAUUAGUUAUGGUUUCACUUUGUAGUUAAUUAGAUUAGUUAAGAUUGAUUAUUGAUUAUCGUCAUAAUUGUGAGGUGAUUCUUGGAGGAUAAUUUUGGAGUGAAGUAUCAUUCGGGAUCAUGAAGGAAAUUAUGUUGGUGGAAUUGGAUUACAUUUCAGGUUUGGUAUCAAGAGCUCGAGAAUGGAAGUGAAGCAAGAUUAUGGAUUGAGUUUGUAUCUAGAUAGUUUAUUUGAGAAUAGUUAUUUAUAUUUUGUUGUAUAUAAUAUUUGGGAAUCUAGUCGACAUAUUUGUGUUUUUGUAAGGAUUUGUUUGUGGGCCCAUAACCCACAUGUCCAGGAUCGAUUUGUAAGGUUAUGUUCCGCUGCGAGUAAAUAAUUAAUUUGAGGCUUAUUAAGCAUUGAUUGUGAUUUGUGAA